rnacentral:tRNA from 1 species
UGUCGGGUUGUCUAAUGGCAGGACAGCGGCCUUUGGAGCCGUUAGUAGAGGUUCGAAUCCUCUCCCGACAG